rnacentral:rRNA from 1 species
GACGAACGCUGGCGGCGUGCCUAACACAUGCAAGUCGAACGAAGUGGCGAACGGGUGAGUAAUACGUGGGUAACCUGCCCUCCUGUUUGGGAUAAGCCUUGGAAACGGGGUCUAAUACCGAAUAAAGGGGGAUGGGCUCGCGGCCUUUCAGCUGGUUGGUGGGGUGCUGGCCUACCAAGGCGGUGACGGGUAGCAGGCCUGAGAGGGUGACCGGCAACAGUGGGACGGUGAUACGGCCCAGACUCAUACGGGAGGCAGCAGUGGGGGAUAUUGCACAAUGGGCGAAAGCCUGAUGCAGCGACGCCGCGUGGGGGAUGAAGGCUUUCGGGUUGUAAACCUCUUGCGCUAUCGAUCGGGUAGGUGGAGAAGAAGCGCCGGCUAACUACGUGCCAGCAGCCGCGGUAAUAC